GAUGAACGCUGGCGGCGUGCCUAAUACAUGCCAGUCGAGCGAACGGACGAGAAGCUUGCUUCUCUGAUGUUAGCGGCGGACGGGUGAGUAACACGUGGAUAACCUACCUAUAAGACUGGGAUAACUUCGGGAAACCGGAGCUAAUACCGGAUGAUAUUUUGAACCGCAUGGUUCAAAAGUGAAAGACGGUCUUGCUGUCACUUAUAGAUGGAUCCGCGCUGCAUUAGCUAGUUGGUAAGGUAACGGCUUACCAAGGCAACGAUGCAUAGCCGACCUGAGAGGGUGAUCGGCCACACUGGAACUGAGACACGGUCCAGACUCCUACGGGAGGCAGCAGUAGGGAAUCUUCCGCAAUGGGCGAAAGCCUGACGGAGCAACGCCGCGUGAGUGAUGAAGGUCUUCGGAUCGUAAAACUCUGUUAUUAGGGAAGAACAUAUGUGUAAGUAACUGUGCACAUCUUGACGGAACCUAAUCAGAAAGCCACGGCUAACUACGUG
rnacentral:rRNA from 1 species